AGUGAACGCUGGCGGUAGGCCUAACACAUGCAAGUCGAACGGCAGCACAGUAAGAGCUUGCUCUUACGGGUGGCGAGUGGCGGACGGGUGAGGAAUACAUCGGAAUCUACUUUUUCGUGGGGGACAACGUAGGGAAACUUACGCUAAUACCGCAUACGACCUACGGGUGGAAGCAGGAGAUCUUCGGACCUUGCGCGAUUGAUUGAGCCGAUGUCGGAUUAGCUAGUUGGCGUGGUAAAGGCCCACCAAGGCGACGAUCCGUAGCUGGUCUGAGAGGAUGAUCAGCCACACUGGAACUGAGACACGGUCCAGACUCCUACGGGAGGCAGCAGUGGGGAAUAUUGGACAAUGGGCGCAAGCCUGAUCCAGCCAUACCGCGUGAGUGAAGAAGGCCUUCGGGUUGUAAAGCCCUUUUGUUAGGAAAGAAAAACAGCAGGUUAAUACCCCGCUGUUCUGACGGUACCCAAAGAAUAAGCACCGGCUAACUUCGUG
rnacentral:rRNA from 1 species